CUAUUUUCAGUAGAUAUAGUGAAAUACAUGCAAUUAUGCUUUCAACUGCCAAUGAAUGAACUUAAGCACAGAAAUGAAAAUGAGUCAUAUUCCCAAUUAAUUAUUAAAAUUAUUUGAAUAUUUUUUCUCAAGUCUAUCUUCUUGCUUCUUAGAGAAGGAGCAGAUUGGGUACACAGUUUAGAUGAUCACUAAAUUUAUCAACAAUUCCUGAAGAAUAGGGUUGAUUUUUACGAAAUGAAACAAUAAAGUAAACAAUGAGACCAUACCAGCUAUUUGAGAAGCCUAAUUAUCCGAUGAAAGAAGCAUGUAUUACAAAAUUAAAGAACAACAGCACCAAAUUUGCUGUCCACAAAUGGACUUUAGAGGAAAGAGAAAGUACUGUUGAGCCAAACAGUUAAGGAGUGAAUUUGGGCUCCGUUCUUAAAAGUGAAUGGACAGCAUAAUCCAGGGAAAUGACAUCACUUUUUUCUAGAAAAAAGUAGAGAAGAGAGAUGAUUUUUAACCUCUGAGCAAGUAGAUGGAUGAAGCAGACUUUGUGCUGGCUUCUGGAUAAUUGUUAGCGCGCGAAUGCUCAUGCCAUGGACAUGUUUAAAAGUGUGUAUUGAAAAGGGAAGUGGGUUCGGGUUUCUGAAGGAAAUUGUUUCUUAUGUUGCUGCUUAUUUGACUUCUACACUUCUAAUUGUAAUUGGAAUCUCAUUUAAGAGAGAAUUUAUGCAUUAUUUCACGGUGUCAUCCACAAAAUGCUUGCUAGUAGACAGAGACACCGGAAUUGAAGGGAAAUCACAAGUCUAAACAAAUGUAACCCAUGACUCCCAUGAAUGAGCCAUUGAAUCCCACGUCCCUAAACAAGUCCUUGUGGUUUACAUACAAUUUUUAAUGAAUCUUCUGUAACAGAACUCUGAAUUCAACAAAUAUUUACACGUUGAGCCUGGUUUUCUAAAGCUGUGAAUAUAAACUAGGAGGCAUGUUAGGCUCCCAUUGCCUACAGCUGCAAUUCCAACAAUGAUGGCAAACCUCAGAUGAUUGGGAAGUUAUGGACCUCUGCACCUAACCCAGGAGUCUAAGAAGCUGGAAGAGAGACGUGGCAGAUCACCUCACAUUGUUGCAAUUCCUCCUGAGACUGAAGUAUAAAAUCAUUACUCCUGAAAAUUUACCUAGAUCCUGACUUAACCAGCUGUCCAGUAAAACUGAUACUCCACUUCACUUCAGAAACUCCAUCACGUCUAUGAUCUACACAUCAUUUGAACAUCACUAGCAUCUACCAUGUUGGACUAAAUACAAUGCUCUGUAGCCAUGUUUGAAAAUCUUACAUUUCACAGAAACAUGUCAACCAUCAUUAUUGAGAACCCAAUCUCAGGAAAAUGUAGACCAAUGGUGAUCACAGAGGAUAAAGUGUUUGCAAAACCUCCCCAUCUUUCUACUGAACAUAAAAUUGUGAGUUAGCACAGAUACCGGCCAAGGAAGAAAUUCAUUUCAUUACCAGUGAAAAUGCAUGGCUCUGUGCAUGUAGUCAUGCCCUUGCAUGCCAUCAGUAGCUGGCCUGUGAAUAGUGUGCAGGCCCUGCUUGUGCAACUUUACAAGAUAGAUUCAUUGCCAUGUCUUCCCAACACUGUUCAGUGACAUCAUGAAAUGAUUUAAGAUUUGCCACAGUGAGACUACUUCCAUUACAGAUUCUGGAAAACACCACAAACCUGUUCUUUCUUCUUGAAAGGCAAUGUAUUCACGGCCCAUUGAAUAUUUUCUCUCUGACUAAAUGUUGAUGAAUGAGACCGCUUAUAACAGAGUGAGGUACAUGAAAAACAAACUGUCAAAUUUCCUGAAGUUUUUAAUCUCCAAAAAUGUUCGUUCUUAUCACAAGUUGAAUGGAAAAAGGAAAUAUGAGAGAGGUUUACUACAGACAAAUAGGCAUUAAAAAACAAACUAUGUUAUUUUCUGGAAAAUUGAUGGGUCAUAUUUAAGAAAAAAACAUACCCCCAACAUAGAUAUAAUGUUCUUUCUCUGAUAUGUGGAAAAUAGAUUUUAAAACAAUCAAAAAACAGACUUUAAAGUAGAAGGGAGACUAUUUGACUUGUGCAAUGUGGGGAAAGAAGGGCAGCAAGAAGAAAUUGAACAUGAUUAAAGCACAUGAUAAACAUGAAGAAUGUCAUGAUAGUCAUUAACACUUUUGUGUGGUUAAUAUAGGCUACUAAGAUAUAAAUUGACAAUAAAAGAAUAUUUGUUCUGAGAAAAUUCUCAACCAAAUAAUUGAGGCUGAUUUGAACAAUAACAACAACAAAAAAAAAAUAGACUUUUUUGAUUACAGCCAGAAACACUGAAUUGCAUUACCAUGGCCGACCUAUCCCAUCUGACAAACGUGGAACAGAGAUUAGUGAUGAAGCUCUGGCUUAUCUGCUUUUCUCCUUCCCCUGCAGUCUAGGACAUUAGCCAAUGAAAUUACAUCACCUGCUAUUAGGGUGUACCUUUAGGGAAUACCUUUCCACCUUAGUUAUCCUAAACAAGAUGAUUUCUCACUAGCACAGAUAGAGGCUGACUUAAUCUAGAUGAUCUCUACCAAGUAUACCUAGAGGCUUGUCUGUUGCUAAUUCUAUGUCCUUUUCAGUUGAUAACAAAUACUAGUAACCACACACAUAACAGUUGUUUAAAAUUUAAAUCACUAUAUUUUGAAAUAUAGUGUUUGAAGGGAUGCAAAAUAUAAACACAAAUGUUACACAGCCAAACAGAAUAGACAAAUAACUCAAAGAUAUUUCAGAAUCAUUUUGUUCCCUGAUUCUUAUGGCAAUUGUAGAAGUAGACAUUGAAAGAAUGGGCAUUGUGUCCAUCAGAGAAAAUCCAGAGAUAAAAUUAAAUGUAGAUUUAUAAGUUCUUAGUUUUGACAAUUACUUUCAAAGUCAUUUACAAUCUUUCCAGUGUUUUAAGCCACAUAAUAAUGAUUAUUAUUA